UUAAAUUGAAGAGUUUGAUCAUGGCUCAGAUUGAACGCUGGCGGCAGGCCUAACACAUGCAAG
rnacentral:rRNA from 38 species